UUAAAUUGAAGAGUUUGAUCAUGGCUCAGAUUGAACGCUGGCGGCAGGCCUAACACAUGCAAGUCGG
rnacentral:rRNA from 1 species